UACGAAGGGGGCUAGCGUUGCUCGGAAUCACUGGGCGUAAAGCGCACGUAGGCGGCUUCUUAAGUCAGGGGUGAAAUCCUGGAGCUCAACUCCAGAACUGCCUUUGAUACUGAGGAGCUUGAGUCCGGGAGAGGUGAGUGGAACUGCGAGUGUAGAGGUGAAAUUCGUAGAUAUUCGCAAGAACACCAGUGGCGAAGGCGGCUCACUGGCCCGGUACUGACGCUGAGGCGCGAAAGCUAGGGGAGCAAACAGG
rnacentral:rRNA from 1 species